AAGGAAGGCAGUUGGGCUGAACUGCCCCUCAGUACAGCCUCACCCAGUCCCAAAGCACUGUACUCUAAUGCUAUAUUUUGUUAACAGUUAACAUGCUAAUUUUAUAUAUAGGAUGAGUCCAUUUUGACAGCCGGAAAAAAAAUUCCCAUUUCAUUUAAUAUUAAACCCUAAUCUUUAUAGUUCCAUUAGAAGAUUGUAAGGUGGCUACCGACUUCAGAGGUUUUCAAGACUGGCAUGACCACUCUAGCCUAUCAGACUGCCUUUUCAAUUAUUGGGGAACUCUCCUGGUCUACAUCAAAACACCUUUAGAAACUAGUUGUUUUCCCACAUUCCACACAACUCUGCUUAGAUUUGCAGAAUUCCAGAUUCAUCUGGUAAGAAUGUUCCAGGAGGAGCAGUUGUACAUGGUGAUCAUUUGUUGCUGAAUUGCACUUAUUAGUAUAGUGCAGACUUAAGGCCAUCUGUAUUGAAUAUAUAUAUAUAUAUAUAUAUAUAUAUAUAUAUAUAUAUAUAUACACACAUAUAUACACACAUAUAUACACACACACACAUACACACAUACAUACAACUUCUUAGUUCACAUUCUACCUCCGUAGAACUUGUUGCUCUUGUCACUUACAAUGUUCAUUUCACAGGAAUAAAACUGACCUGUGGGCAUGAAAGCAAUUAUCCAGUCAUGCUAUGUUAAUAGAUAGCACAUUAUCCGACAAAUAAACAAGAUUAAGAUGGGACCUUUUAACCAGCCAUUUCUAUGGCUGUAGGCAUCUGGAAUGGUAGAAAGCUACUAACAAGAGAUGGAAGGGGGGAAAUUAAAAGCUUUCUUGUGAAAACAGCAAAUACCCUUUUAUACAACCAAUAUAUUAAAUCUUACAAUAAAUAAAUGAACAUUAGAAAAUU